CAUCACAUUGUAUUAAAUAAUUUCGAAAUAAAGUGUACGUAAUUGUACAUUAGAAACAGUUGUAGUUCGACAGUUCUAAUAGUGUAGACACUAACUGAGCAUUUUGUUCACUAAUGUUUUAAGACGUGCCUCUUUAAGAAGAAAUAUUCGACCAUGCUCUUGGCACUGCAAGCCGUUGUGUCUGCCAGAAGCGCAUUUAACAGAGAUGUUCGAAAUGAACGAGUUAAUCAUCAAACUAGCCUGCUGACAACAACAAAAACGAAAAUCAACGAACAAACCUCGGGUGUUUCCGACAACAUGUUGGAUCAAGAUGUGAUGGCGCCAAAUGACUUCUUCGUAUCGUUUUUGACAAGUUGUACGUGUUGGACAAACAAACAAAAAAUGGUGUGGAAACUAUCACCAACAGUAUUCCUUAAAACAACAGAAGAGGUUGUGCCAUGCGAAUCUGGAAUUAUUGAGGAUCAUUCGCCAACUUAAAUUUUAUAUUAAUUGUGUUUAUUUAAACAUAAGUAACAAGUCAAUUUUGUUUUCUGCAUUUUAAGGUUCAAAGUAUUGCUGUAUUGUAUAUUAUAUGGACUUCGUGUGAGUUUGUAGCACACAUUUUAAAUUUGAGAAUUAGUGGUCGCGAAACAUAAAACCUAUAUUAAACAUGACCUUAGAAAGCUACUCUUAUCCUGAGUUUGUUUAGUAUAUUAGUAGUAUGUAGAUAAAUUGAACUUAUUAAAGGUCCUAUGUCGAAGAAUUGAACCUUAUUAAAGGUCCUAUGUCAAAGUUGAAACUUUCGUUAUUUUCACAUUUAUUAGUAAUAAAUAACUACAAAUUAAUGGAACCCGCAUAAUAUUUCGACUAUUAACUCCAGAAUAAUAAUGUUUAAAAGUCUUGCGCUGGGCGACAAGAGGGAUUUCUCAAAUAAUUUGUGGCUAAAAAUAACAGGUUCACCCUGUUUGUUUCUUUUGUCAGUUGACCGCAGAUAAUUCGUGGUAAAAUUAGUGUGUUGAAUAUGUACGCAUAAAAUAGUGACAUCACUAGUAACUAGUAGUUAAUGCGUGUGACACACUCUCAAGAUCCCCCACCCCUCGAAAGUAAUUUUGUUUCUACUAGUAAAUGGAAUUAGUUGGUUGUAUUUUUUUUACAGAAAUAUAGCUGAAGGUAUAAACUUUAUGUUUCAAUGAACAAAUUAAUAAAUAUUUUUGGCGGGAACCGCUAUUAUUGCAACUUUGGCAUAGCACCUUCAACGACUAAUUUUACACAUUAAAAAUACAAGUUAUUGUUUAGAAUAUCAGAAUCUGUAUGUACACGGUGUUUCUGGUAGUCCGAAUGUUUGUAGUAGCCCAAACUGGAUUUUACCUCCCACUAUAUUAAUUUCAUACGUACGAAUACGUAUAUUAGGAAAUAAAGAGAAGUUAGAGCUACUAAUACCUCAAACAUUAUGAAGUAAUAUUGUAAACAUUAAACUGAUUGAUUAUGUAAUUUUAGUCAUACAUUAACAGUCUAUCAGACAGAAAUAAUUUAUAAUGGUAUCAAACUGGGGACAGUCUUUUUCAUGUUAUCUAAUUGGUUAAAUGGUUUUGAAUAAAUGUAAUAGGUAUCUAGUGCUUCUACGGGCACAUUCAAUAGUCGAUGAAUAACUAAGCAAUGUACUCCAGCCGUGUCGUUAAACAAAAUAAAACGUUUUUAAACUUUUACUACUUCUGGCAGUAACUACAAAAAUAUAAUGUGCACACUGCGGGGAAUGGUGUGUAGCAUCGGGUUACAAUCGAUAAAAUUCUAUAGUAAAUGGGUAAUGCAUGCAUAGCGAUAAUAUACAAUAAUAACAUAUGUCAUAUAUCAAUG